CCUACGGGAGGCAGCAGUGGGGAAUAUUGGGCAAUGGGCGAAAGCCUGACCCAGCAACGCCGCGUGAAGGAAGAAGGCUUUCGGGUUGUAAACUUCUUUUGACAGGGAAGAGCAGAAGACGGUACCUGUCGAAUAAGCCACGGCUAACUACGUGCCAGCAGCCGCGGUAAUACGUAGGUGGCAAGCGUGGUCCGGAUUUACUGGGGGUAAAGGGCGUGUAGCCGGGCUGACAAGUCAGAUGUGAAAUCCGGGGGCUCAACCCCCGAACUGCAUUUGAAACUGUUGGUCUUGAGUAUCGGAGAGGCAGGCGGAAUUCCUAGUGUAGCGGUGAAAUGCGUAGAUAUUAGGAGGAACACCAGUGGCGAAGGCGGCCUGCUGGACGACAACUGACGGUGAGGCGCGAAAGCGUGGGGAGCAAACAGGAUUAGAUACCCGUGUAGUC
rnacentral:rRNA from 1 species